UUGUUGUAGGAGUAGAAAUAAAGGGAUAUCACAUAUAUGUAAAAGUUAUUUUUCUUCAAUGAUAUAGGUUCAGUGAUUAUCUCCACUAACCUGUUUAUUUUGUGGAUAUUAUAUAUACCUUACAGGAGACAGAUUGGAGGCUGACUAAUGAUGAUGAUUUUGAAGUAUCUUUGUUUCCAUAUUGGUCUUUAUGUGCAUGUUUUCUCUCUUUUAUUGCAGUGUAAUGAUUCUGUUCUUGAAAUCUGAGAUUAUUAACAACCUUUUGAUUGUGAAUCUUAAGAUCAUCUCAUUGAGUCAUAUUUUGUCUCUAUUUUUACAUGUUUCAGAUCUAGAUUAUCUGUUUAUAACAGUGUGUAAUGAAGUCUAAAUUAUUAACUACUGAUUUGAACUUAACUUCUCUUUCUUUUCCCUUAUUAUGCAAGCUUUUGUGUGGUAACCUUUUUAUAGUUUCCAGUUAAAUGUUUUUCCUUUUCGAGUUCUUUCUGUGUUGCUCAUAUAUGUUUGUAGACUAUUUUCACGUGUUUAGGUUAUUAAUUAUCUUUAUUUUGUUGGCUAAGCUUUUAAUGUAUUCUGUUGUUGUUUAAAAGAUAAAGGGACAUCAGUGUCACUUGUAGUUUUUACUAGUUUCCAGUUAAAUGCUUAUAUGAAUCAUGAGUAGUGUGGUCAGGAAUUUCUUUCUUUGAUGCUAUGGUUUUUUUUCCAACUGAUUGUGUGUUCUACACUAUUUAAUUAGUACCAUAUUCAUGCUAUGGAAUGUAUAUUUAGUGUUUCUUUUUGGCUUAAUGGGUUAAGCACUUAAUCUGGAGAGCUAUAUGACUGUUUCUAUUUUGAAUCUUAUGAUGACUAAAUGUUUUUUACUCAUAUUUAGUUCUCAUCAAGUCUUCAUUCAGACCCUCGAUUCAUAGCAGUGAGUGUAGAUUGUGUGCCUUUUGAAUAUUAAUAUUAAGAGCAUCACAUUCUUUUUCUACAGUUCCUAUGGUGGCAACAAAUGCAUGUAUGGAUCCAAAGAUUCAAUUCUUUGUUUAUCAUAUGUUGUUUUUCAUCUGUCACUUGUCUUGUUCUUGGUUCUUCUUUGAUGGGUUUAUUUGAAGGGUUUUGAUUUUUGAAUGACAGAGGUUCCUUAUACAAUUCUUUCCAACUUGAAAAUUAAGGUCAUUGAGUUUCUUGGUUAUCGGGUUCUUUUUUUUUUCGUCAUGUUCUUCAUUUUAUACAGAGAUAUCAGUAUGGCUUAUAUAACAAAUAUUUUUCUUUAAUGAUUAUCUCCAUUAACUUGUUUAUUUUGUGGAUAUAUACCUUACAGGAUAACUAAUGAUGAUGAUUUUGAAGUAUCAUCUUUUCUAUAAUGGUCUUUAUGUGUUUCCUUUUUUAUUUUUUUGGUUUCUGGUUGAAAGUUGGGGAGUUCUCUUCCAUUUUGGUGAGAUGUUUUCUCAAUGUGGAUAUUCCAUUCAAGUAGGUGUCUGAUUUCAGCUCUUUCUUUCUCUCUUUUAUUGCAGUGCAAUGAUCCUGUUCUUAGAAUCUAAGAUCCUCUCAUCUUUUUUUUUUUCUUUUUUUUUUCUAUAGUUGCUAUGAUGACACCAAAUGUACAUCUGUUUACUUAGAUUCAGUUCUUUUCAAUUCUUGCAUGCUGGUAAAUUACAAUUGAGUUAGGUUGUCCUUUCUUAUUAGUAAGUAACCUUUUGAUUUGACCUUAAAUUCACUUGUUUCCCUUCUUUUUUGGGUCUCUUUAUAAGGUUUUAUGUGCUCACCUUUUUUUUUUUUUUUUGCAGUUGCUAUAGAGGCCCCACCCAAAGUCAAUGGAUGUUUACUCAGAAUCCAUUCCUGUGAUGGUGGCUAUUUGCAGGAAGGACAUUAUGUUCAAAACAACUCGACUAAUAGCCUGAAUAUGAUGUCCCUCUUGUAGACUAUUUUCAUGUGUUUAGGUACCACUUUCAGUUGUGAUGAUGCAUGGUGACACAAAAUGCAUGAGACAGAUGGGAGUCUGACUAAAUCUAAUGAAUUUAAAGCAUCUUCUUUUCUAUAAUGGUCUUAAUUUGUUUUGCUUUUUUGGGUUUCUGGUUGAAAGUUGUGGAGCACAAGCAUGAGACUUCUCCUUCCAUUAUGGUUAUUUGUAAGCUUCUCAUGAAAAAUAAUUUGAUAGGAGCAACACACUGGGGAGCACAUGUUAUUAUGUAUAUAGCAAAAAUGCAAGGUUCAUUUAUAUGUUUCUUUGUGAUUAUUAAUUCAGUAAUGCUCAAUGAUCAAAAUGAUUGGUUUCAUUUGUGCAGAAAGUUCAAAAUCAGGGAUUCCUAUCCUAUCCUCCAAAGCAUGUUGAGAGAAACACUUCUUUUUUCCUUCACUGAAGAUGAAGGAAACACUUGUUUAUCUUAUGAUAAAUGCAAUAAAUGACAAUGUACUUUCAUUGAUUUGUUUAUUAUAGCAUCAUUCUUCCUAUUACAACAUGGCACUUUGAAAUACUUACCCAGUUAU